GACAACCCCCUUAGCCCGUCUGUUCUCUUGCGCCAUAUAAAUGACGUGCGCUCUCCCGGGGCGCACACGAAAGCGCACCACAGCACCUUGGGGAUGCUGCGCAUCAAAGUCUGCGGAGAAGACAUUUCCUUUACUGCCAUGCGUUGUUUCAACAGAUAGUCGGAUAAAGGAUAGAACUAAGGCUUCCUGUUAAGUCCAGGGUCAUCUUAGUUAUUUGCAUUUUAACGUAGUGUAACUUUGUACUCCUCUUCUGACGCGCGCUCUCAGGGCAAGAUGAAAAUUCUCCUGUCACUUUUGAUCCUUUGCUGUUUGGUCAAUAUAUUUUGCCAAGAGCUGUUCUCCAGCGAAGACGACCUGGCAACGGGCAAUUACCUAUUAGAGGACUACCCGUCACAGGAAGAUGUGGAGAACCCUUUGCAGACAUUACUGAGAAUUGUGAGAAGAACCAGUCCUCAACAGUUCUUUGGGCUGAUGGGCAAACGAUCUGCAAAAGCACAAGUAACGCGCAAAAGACACAAAUUUCAGUCAUUUGUUGGACUGAUGGGCAAACGAAAUCUGGGAGAGAAAAGUGUAUCAAGAACCCUUCCCCUGUAGAGACUGAGGAGAUAAGGACAAAGAGCCGGUGAACACACAGAUGAACAGCUAGCUGAGAUGUUACAAUACAGUGGCCAUCACGGGCUGAGUUUGAUCAUUUGGCAAAAUUGUACCAAAUUCAACGUAUGCCUAUAUUAAUAUAACAGUGCUGUUUGCAGUUGUCUCAUUAAAAGGUGCACUGUGUAAGAUUGUGUCCAGAGUAUAUUGCACCUAUGCUGCUCAUUGAAACUGUACUGUGUCUACUGCCAAAUUUGAUCUUUUCAUGAAUGUUUACUUAAAAAUGAACUAAUAUUUACCAUUAUGACCAAAUUACAGUACGUUUUUCAGCUAAAAAUGUAAACUUCUGGAAAUUCAAAAUGGCAGACAAUGGACAAUAUCCCCUUUUCAUGUAUGAAUAUAUUUAAUUACAAUUUUCCCUCUGCAAUCUACAGUUCAGUUCACAAACUUAUGAAGUGAUACCAUGCUUGCCACAGGUUGGAACAAUAAAACCUCAAUGU